rnacentral:lncRNA from 1 species
CCAACACAAUAACUAAAUGAAAAUUCAUGGAUUAUUGUAAGAAUUUAAUUUAUAUACAAAUUGUUGGUGUAAGAUAACUUUACAUUGACAAUAGAUAAUAAUUAAACUCUUAUUAUAAUAGGGCAUUUGUGUACUCUCUUACGUAAGACACGCCAUACAUAAUCAAAUAUGAACAUUAUAUUUUAUGCCACGGUAGAACACAUUGACAAUACCUUUGGAACAUACAUUUCGGGAUGAAAGGAGAUUGGCAUCUUUGUUUAGUACAAUCUGAAUCUCUAAAACAUGAUUGGCGUUUUGUGUAACGUCCCGCUGUAAUGAUAAGAUAUAAUAAAAUAGUAUGAUU